UCACUUUCAACAACGGAUCUCUUGGCUCUCGCAUCGAUGAAGAACGUAGCGAAGUGCGAUAUGUAGUGUGAAUUGCAGAAUUCCGUGAAUCAUCGAAUCUUUGAACGCAAAUUGCACUCCUUGGCAUCCCGGGGAGUAUGCCUGUUUGAGGGUCAGUAU
rnacentral:rRNA from 1 species